GAUGAACGCUGGCGGUAUGCUUAACACAUGCAAGUCGAACGGACUCUUCGGAGUUAGUGGCGGACGGGUGAGUAACGCGUGAGAAUCUGGCUUUGGGUUCGGGACAACCACUGGAAACGGUGGCUAAUACCGGAUGUGCCGAGAGGUAAAAGAGAAAUUGCCCGAAGAUGAGCUCGCGUCUGAUUAGCUAGUUGGUGAGGUAAAGGCUCACCAAGGCAGCGAUCAGUAGCUGGUCUGAGAGGAUGACCAGCCACACUGGGACUGAGACACGGCCCAGACUCCUACGGGAGGCAGCAGUGGGGAAUUUUCCGCAAUGGGCGAAAGCCUGACGGAGCAAUACCGCGUGAGGGAAGAAGGCUCUUGGGGUGUAAACCUCUUUUCUUAGGGAAGAACAAAAUGACGGUACCUAAGGAAUCAGCAUCGGCUAACUCCGUG
rnacentral:rRNA from 1 species